rnacentral:rRNA from 1 species
GACAGGGGGUGCAAACGUUGUUCGGAAUUACUGGGCGUAAAGCGCGUGUAGGUGGCGAGGCAAGUCGGGUGUGAAAGCCCUGGGCUCAACCCAGGAAGUGCACUCGAUACUGCCUAGCUAGAGUCCCGGAGAGGUUGGUGGAACCUCUCGGUGUAGAGGUGAAAUUCGUAGAUAUCGAGAAGAACACCGGUGGCGAAGGCGGCCAACUGGACGGUGACUGACACUGAGACGCGAAAGCGUGGGGAGACAAACAGGAUUAAGAACCCGGGUUAGUACCCCAGG